UACGGAGGGUGCAAGCGUUAAUCGGAAUUACUGGGCGUAAAGCGCGCGCAGGUGGUUUGUUAAGUUGGAUGUGAAAUCCCCGGGCUCAACCUGGGAACUGCAUCCAAAACUGGCAAGCUAGAGUACGGUAGAGGGUGGUGGAAUUUCCGGUGUAGCGGUGAAAUGCGUAGAGAUAGGAAGGAACACCAGUGGCGAAGGCGACCACCUGGACAGAUACUGACGCUCAGGUGCGAAAGCGUGGGGAGCAAACAGG
rnacentral:misc_RNA from 1 species